rfam:Gymnopus luxurians FD-317 M1 unplaced genomic scaffold GYMLTscaffold_23, whole genome shotgun sequence.
GGCGCUAUAGCCAAGUGGUUACGGCGACAGAUUAGAACCGUUAAAAGUUUCUGAUUAAUUCAUCUGUUCCUCUUUGAGGGCGCAGGUUCGAAUCCUGCUGGCGUCG